rnacentral:snRNA from 9 species
AUACCUACCUGACGUCGGGAUACGGUGAUCAUGCAAGUGGUUCCCCCGGGGUGCGGCUGCUCUAUUGCACUGCGGAGUGGUUGACCCUUGCGAUUAUUUUUAUACUUUAUAAGUUUCACUUCUACCGUGUGUGACUUGCACACACACACA